GAUGAACGCUGGCGGCGUGCUUAACACAUGCAAGUCGAACGGAAAGGCCCUGCUUGCCGGGUACUCGAGUGGCGAACGGGUGAGUAACACGUGGGUGAUCUGCCCUGCACUUCGGGAUAAGCCUGGGAAACUGGGUCUAAUACCGGAUAGGAGCCAUUUUUAGUGUGAUGGUUGGAAAGUUUUUUCGGUGUAGGAUGAGCUCGCGGCCUAUCAGCUUGUUGGUGGGGUAAUGGCCUACCAAGGCGGCGACGGGUAGCCGGCCUGAGAGGGUGGACGGCCACAUUGGGACUGAGAUACGGCCCAGACUCCUACGGGAGGCAGCAGUGGGGAAUAUUGCACAAUGGGCGCAAGCCUGAUGCAGCGACGCCGCGUGGGGGAUGACGGCCUUCGGGUUGUAAACUCCUUUCGCUAGGGACGAAGCUUUUUGUGACGGUACCUAGAUAAGAAGCACCGGCUAACUACGUG
rnacentral:rRNA from 1 species